UACAGAGGGGGCAAGCGUUGUUCGGAAUUACUGGGCGUAAAGGGCGCGUAGGCGGCCUUCUAAGUCGAACGUGAAAUCCCCGGGCUCAACCCGGGAACUGCGUCCGAUACUGGAAGGCUUGAAUCCGGGAGAGGGAUGUGGAAUUCCAGGUGUAGCGGUGAAAUGCGUAGAUAUCAGGAGGAACACCAAUGGCGAAGGCAGCUCGCUGGGACGGUACUGACGCUGAGACGCGAAAGCGUGGGGAGCAAACAGG
rnacentral:rRNA from 1 species